rnacentral:rRNA from 1 species
CGUAGGGUGCGAGCGUUAAUCGGAAUUACUGGGCGUAAAGUGUGCGCAGGCGGCCGCGCAAGUCGAGUGUGAAAGCCCCGAGCUUAACUUGGGAACUGCGCUCGAAACUACGUGGCUGGAGUGUGGCAGAGGAAGGUGGAAUUCCAGGUGUAGCGGUGAAAUGCGUAGAGAUCUGGAGGAACACCGAUGGCGAAGGCAGCCUUCUGGGCCAACACUGACGCUCAUGCACGAAAGCGUGGGGAGCAAACAGGAUUAGAUACCCUGGUAGUCCACGCCCUAAACGAUGAUGACUAGUUGUUGGAGGAGUUAAAUCCUUUAGUAACGCAGCUAACGCGUGAAGUCAUCCGCCUGGGGAGUACGGUCGCAAGAUUA